GCCAGGCAUGGUGGUGCUCCCCUGUAAUCUCAGCUACUCAGGAGGCUGAGGCAGGAGGACCACAAGUUUGAGGCCAGCCUCAGCAAUUCAGUGAGACCCUGCCUCAA
rnacentral:sRNA from 1 species